rnacentral:misc_RNA from 1 species
UUUCCGUAGGUGAACCUGCGGAAGGAUCAUUAUUGUAUAACCGGGGUGGGAGGGCUGUCGCUGACCCGAAAGGUCGUGCACGCCCGAGUGCCCUCACACACAUCCAUCUCACCCCUAUGUGCACCCCCGCGUGGGUCCCCCUUUGGCUUGUUCGGAGGGGGGCUUACGUUUUCACACAAACUUUGUAUGCAGUGUAGAAUGUAUUUUUUGUUUUUGCGAUCACGCAAUCAAUACAACUCUCAACAACGGAUCUCUUGGCUCUC